UACGUAGGUGGCAAGCGUUGUCCGGACUUAUUGGGCGUAAAGCGAGCGCAGGCGGUUCCUUAAGUCUGAUGUGAAAGCCCACGGCUCAACCGUGGAAGGUCAUUGGAAACUGGGGAACUUGAGUGCAGAAGAGGAGAGUGGAAUUCCAUGUGUAGCGGUGAAAUGCGUAGAGAUAUGGAGGAACACCAGUGGCGAAGGCGGCUUCCUGGUCUGUAACUGACACUGAGGCGCGAAAGCGUGGGGAGCAAACAGGAUUAGAUACCCG
rnacentral:rRNA from 1 species